rnacentral:lncRNA from 1 species
GAAUUGACAUGUGAAAGUGAUCUCCUUUUUUACAACAUCAAGAAUUAAAGGAUUAUGGGGCUGCCUCACUACUUUUGUUUCAUCUUUAAGUGAGAUCCUAUGCAUACAUAUGGAUGAGCUAAUAUCACGAGUGCCAGCCAAGGUCCAUCCAAUUCCCUUCUUAUAUUUCUGAUUAAGUUGAAGCUUUGAUGAAUAAUAUGAAUCCUCGGGAAGUGGUUUAGGCUCUAAAGA